UUUCCGUAGGUGAACCUGCGGGAGGAUCAUUCAUAAUAAAGUGUUUUAUGGCACUUUUUAAAAAUCCAUAUCCACCUUGUGUGCAAUGUUAGAUCUCGUCAAUCUUGGCGAGAUUUUUAUACAUCAACUCAUUCUUUAACUAAUUUGUCUGAAAAAUAUUAUGAAUACUUAAUUCAAAAUACAACUUUCAACAACGGAUCUCUUGGCUCCC
rnacentral:misc_RNA from 1 species